rnacentral:rRNA from 1 species
GUACACACCGCCCGUCACACCAUGGGAGUUGGCUGCACCAGAAGAGGCUAGUUUAACCUUCGGGAGGGCGCCGACCACGGUGUGGUCAAUGACUGGGGUGAAGUCGUAACAAGGUAGCCGUAGGUGAACCUGCAGAAGGAUCA